CCUACGGGAGGCUGCAGUGAGGAAUAUUGGUCAAUGGGCGCGAGCCUGAACCAGCCAAGUAGCGUGAAGGAUGACUGCCCUACGGGUUGUCUACUUCUUUUAUAAAGGAAUAAAGUGAGGCACGUGUGCCUUUUUGUCUGUACUUUAUGAAUAAGGAUCGGCUAACUCCGUGCCAGCAGCCGCGGUAAUACGGAGGAUCCGAGCGUUAUCCGGAUUUAUUGGGUUUAAAGGGAGCGUAGAUGGGUUGUUAAGUCAGUUGUGAAAGUUUGCGGCUCAACAGUAAAAUUGCAAUUGAUACUGGCAGCCUUGAGUACAGUUGAGGUAGGCGGAAUUCGUGGUGUAGCGGUGAAAUGCUUAGAUAGCACGAAGAACUCCGAUUGCGAAGGCAGCUUACUAAACUGCCACUGACAUUGAUGCUCGAAAGUGUGGGUAUCAAACAGGAUUAGAUACCCGAGUAGUC
rnacentral:rRNA from 1 species